GGAAGGUCUAUGACCUCUGUCGGCAUGCCAGAAGGUUUUGAAAGGAAAGUACAAACCUUUAAAGACACGGCUCCACAAAGAUGAAGGAUCUUGGAACAAUCUCCAUGCCUGUUUACCCAGGAGAGCCUUGUUAAAGGGUUUGGAGUCUUGGGAAUUAGAGAUAUGGAGGUCUUGUUGAUUUCUGCGGGCAACACUCCCGAACUGAAGAAAGUAUGGACCAUACGAUAAACGUCCUCCUGAAGAAUAUCCCAGUGGUGGUGAUAGAAGAGACCAUUCAAGCCGUCAGGACCCGGUGCAUUGGAUGCGCCCAGCUGAAAGUGCUGAAGCUGCUGCUGAAGGAGAGAAAGUUGAUGAUGACCCGCUUUGAACUUAUGACUACUCCAUCGCAACAAGGCAGCCGAGGUAGCCUGGAGCUUCUUGGAGAUUGUAGCAUUUACGAGAGAGGAAGAAGACCAGGUAUCGGAAACCACCCUGUGGCAGUCAGGGUCUUGCAACCAGAAAGAUUCAAAGGGUGGGAAGGGAACAAGACCAUAGGCUCAGGAGAGGAGUGGAGCUGCUGAGUUGGUCGAGCCUCCAUUGGAGGGGUUUGUUGAGGGAUCUCAGAAGGAACAGCAGGGAGUAAGAGUUGACCUGAUGGAGGAGUUUCAGGGGCCUCGUCUUCCCAGACUUCAAUCGGCUUAGGAGUCCAUAAACGACCUAACCGACUGCAAAGAGCGGCAAGUCGGGCGUCCUCUCCCUGAGACGAAUACGCCAUCCGAAGAGAAACUCUACUGUAUGGUGGUAUCAGCAAAGAACGGAGAGUAAACAAAGUGAAAACCCAUCCAUGCAAAGAGAUAAAGGUGAAUCGGGAACAUGCAAGAUGAGAAUUUCAGAAAUUUGAGAGAGACAACAGAAAAAGAAAACAAGAGUGAGAGAGCGACGAGACCAGAAAGCAGGGGAGAUGAAGGGGGAAAGAAGAAAGAUGGAGAAGACCAGGUGGUCAGAAAACUACAUUCACGAAAGAAAUGGAUGGAAAACAAGUUCGGAGGGGGCCAUCAUCCGAAAGUCCUUCCAUUAGCUACAGGAAAAGAAGAAACCCAGAAGCAAGAGAUAGAGGAAGAAGACGAAAGCUCGACAGAGACGAGAAGAAAAUCUCUACAUAGGCGAGAGAGAAAUCUCUACAUAGGCGA